rnacentral:lncRNA from 1 species
GGUCAGCUCUUCUAUUCGAGUCACCUUCACUUCUGAACCAGGGUUUAAAAUUACGCCUUUUUAAGCUGGUGGGUUAUUAACUUUGGACUCACAUACACGCGAGACAAAAACCUAAAGAGGAUAGCAUGUGAGGUGUACAAAAGUUAAGUUUGCAUCAAGCGUUAAAGCUGACCUUUACUAAUUAUAUUCGCUAAUGAUAAUUGUGUUCAUUAAUGUAUGAAUGGGAGC